rnacentral:rRNA from 1 species
GACGAACGCUGGCGGCGUGCUUAACACAUGCAAGUCGAACGGAAAGGCCCUGCUUUUGUGGGGUGCUCGAGGUGCGAACGGGUGAGUAACACGUGAGUAACCUGCCCUUGACUUUGGGAUAACGUCAGGAAACUGGGGCUAAUACCGGAUAGGAGCUCCUGCUGCAUGGUGGGGGUUGGAAAGUUUCGGCGGUUGGGGAUGGACUGGCGGCUUAUCCGCUUGUUGGUGGGGUGGUGGCUUACCAAGGCUUUGACGGGUAGCCGGCCUGAGAGGGUGACCGGCCAAAUUGGGAUUGAACUGCGGCCCAGACUCCUCCGGGAGGCAGCAGUGGGGAAUAUUGUCCAAUGGGCGGAAGCCUGAUGCAGCAACGCCGCGUGCGGGAUGACGGCAUUCGGGUAGUAAACCGCUUUCGCCUGUGACGAGGCGUGAGUGACGGUAAUGGGUAAAGAAGCACCGGCUAACUACGUG